rnacentral:rRNA from 1 species
AUGGAUGACGACGGUGCCGCCUCCCCGUCGCCCUCGCCGUCACCGUCGCGCUCCCCUUCCCCGCUUCCGGUCGCCGACCCCGUCACCGUCGCCGCCGUGCCCCCCGGCCACCUCGCCCUCGCCAUCCCUAUUCAUAAGCAUGGUCCCUCCAGCAGCGGCGGCGGCGGGGGCGGGGGCAGGGAGGACGCCUGGAGCGACGGCGCCACCUCCACGCUGAUCGACGCCUGGGGUGAGCGCUUUGUCGCGCUCGGCCGCGGCAGCCUACGCCACCCGCAGUGGCAGGAGGUUGCCGAGGUCGUCUCCUCCCGCGAUGGCUACUCCAAGCCGCCCAAGUCCGACGUCCAGUGCAAGAACCGUAUCGACACCCUCAAGAAGAAGUACAAAGUCGAGAAGGCCAAGUCGGACUCCUCAUGGCCAUUCUUCGACCGCCUUGACUUCCUCCUCGCCCCAGUCCAGAAGCUCCUGGGCAAUUCUGGCGGGGCAGCAGGAAAUUUUGGCUCCUCCAAUCCCAGCAACCGGAGCACCGCACCUAUGGCCCCGCGUGUCAACUUCCCUCAGCGCACCCGCACGGCCUUUCCCUCGAUAGGUAUGAAGCGGAGGCUGCCAUCGCCGCCCCAGGCGUCAGCAUCGUCGGAGUCGUCCGACGGGUUCCCACCUGAACCACUGGCUGAGGCCGUGAACGGCAAGAGGCAACGCCUCGAGGAGUCGGCGAAUGGAGCGGACAGCAGCGACCGUGCACAGGGCCUGCGCGACCUGGCACAGGCGAUUCGACGGCUUGGGGAGACAUACGAGCGCGUGGUGUCCUCAAAAGGGGAGCAUGAGCUCCGGAUGGAGCGGAGCCGCCUGGAUGCCGCACGCGAGCUGGAGGACCAGCGUGUGCAGUUCUUCCUCAAGAUGGAGAUGGAGAUCUCAAAGGCCAACAAUGGUGCUCCACUCGCUGUCCCACUUGCUGCCGCUGCCAUGGUCGGUAAUUCAGCCUCUACAGCAGAAGAUGGUGACUCGCCAGCUACUGCUGAUGGCAACGGUCCAAGGAGAGCCUCUAUGGCAACGGAUGUCAGGGCCAGCAGCAAUCACCAUGUCCGGUACCGUGUCAAGGACGACAGGCAUUGGUAG